rnacentral:rRNA from 1 species
AUUGAACGCUAGCGGGAUGCUUUACACAUGCCAGUCGAACGAGUGUCAGACGGGUGAGUAAUCUAUCGGAACGUGCCCAGUAGCGGGGGAUAACUACUCGAAAGAGUGGCUAAUACCGCAUACCAUUGGACUGGCCGAUAUCGGAUUAGCUAGUUGGUGGGGUAAGGGCUCACCAAGGCAACGAUCCGUAGCUGGUUUGAGAGGACGACCAGCCACACUGGGACUGAAACACGGCCAAGAGUCCGACUGCAGGCAGCAGUGGGGAAUUUGGGACAAGGGGGGAAACCCUAAUGCAGCCAUCCCGGGUGUAUGAGAAGGCCUUCGGGUGGUAAAGUACUUUUGGCAGAGAAACGGUUUCUGCAGAGUAAGCACCGGCUAACUACGUGCCAGCCGCCGCGGUAAUAC